rnacentral:rRNA from 1 species
AGAGUUUGAUCCUGGCUCAGAGUGAACGCUGGCGGCAGGCCUAACACAUGCAAGUCGAACGGCAGCACAGCAGUAGCAAUACUGUGGGUGGCGAGUGGCGGACGGGUGAGGAAUACAUGGGAAUCUGCCCUGUCGUGGGGGAUAACGUAGGGAAACUUACGCUAAUACCGCAUACGACCGGAAGGUGAAAGCGGCGGACCGCAAGGCGUCGCGCGACUGGAUGAGCCCAUGUCGGAUUAGCUAGUUGGCGGGGUAAAGGCCCACCAAGGCGACGAUCCGUAGCUGGUCUGAGAGGAUGAUCAGCCACACUGGAACUGAGACACGGUCCAGACUCCUACGGGAGGCAGCAGUGGGGAAUAUUGGACAAUGGGCGCAAGCCUGAUCCAGCCAUGCCGCGUGAGUGAAGAAGGCCUUCGGGUUGUAAAGCUCCUUUGUCCGGAAAGAAAAGCUCGCGGUUAAUACCCGUGGGUUAUGACGGUACCGGAAGAAUAAGCACCGGCUAACUUCGUGCCAGCAGCCGCGGUAAUACGAAGGGUGCAAGCGUUACUCGGAAUUACUGGGCGUAAAGCGUGCGUAGGUGGUUCGUUAAGUCUGAUGUGAAAGCCCUGGGCUCAACCUGGGAAUGGCAUUGGAAACUGGCGACCUANAGUGCGGUAGAGGGUAGUGGAAUUCCCGGUGUAGCAGUGAAAUGC